CAACAGGGAUUGCCCUAGUAACGGCGAGUGAAGCGGCAACAGCUCAAAUUUGAAAUCUGGCUUCGGCCCGAGUUGUAAUUUGCAGAGGAUGUUUCUGGCGCGGUGCCUUCCGAGUUCCCUGGAACGGGACGCCAAAGAGGGUGAGAGCCCCGUAUGGUUGGACACCAAGCCUGUGUGAAACUCCUUCAACGAGUCGAGUAGUUUGGGAAUGCUGCUCUAAAUGGGAGGUAAAUCUCUUCUAAAGCUAAAUACCGGCCAGAGACCGAUAGCGCACAAGUAGAGUGAUCGAAAGAUGAAAAGCACCUUGAAAAGGGGGUUAAAUAGUACGUGAAAUUGUUGAAAGGGAAGCACUUAUGACCAGACUUGGGCCGGGCGGCUCAUCAGGGGUUCUCCCCUGUGCACUCCGCCCGGCACAGGCCAGCAUCGGUUUUCGCGGGGGGAUAAGACCGUCAGGAACGUAGCACCUCUCGGGGUGUGUUAUAGCCUGGCGGACGAUACCCUCGCGGGGACCGAGGUUCGCGCUCCGCAAGGAUGCUGGCGUAAUGGUCAUCAGUGACCCGUCUUGAAACACGGACCAAGGAGUCGUCCAUUAGAGCGAGCGUUUGGGUGUAAAACCCGCACGCGUAAUGAAAGUGAACGCAGGUGAGAGCUUCGGCGCAUCAUCGACCGAUCCUGAUGUUCUCGGAAGGAUUUGAGUAAGAGUUUUAACGGACGGACCCGAAAGACAGUGAACUAUGCUUGUAUAGGGUGAAGCCAGAGGAAACUCUGGUGGAGGCUCGCAGCGGUUCUGACGUGCAAAUCGAUCGUCAAAUAUGAGCAUGGGGGCGAAAGACUAAUCGAACU
rnacentral:rRNA from 1 species